UAUUUAAUUUAAGGUCUGACCUGCCCUAUGAAUAUUAAAUGGCCGCGGUAUAUUGACCGUGCGAAGGUAGCAUAAUCAUUAGUUUUUUAAUUAAAAGCUUGUAUGAAUGGUUUGACGAGAUAGAAACUGUUUCUAAAUAAAAAUUAUAAUUUUAUUUUUGAGUAAAAAAGCUUAAAUUUUUUUAAAAGACGAGAAGACCCUAUAAAUCUUAAUAUUUUUUUUAUUUUUAAUAAUUUUAGUUUUUAUUGAAUUGUUUUAAUUAAAAUUUAUUUAAUUGGGGAAAUUUAAUGAUUAAUUUAAUUCAUUAUUUUUUUUAUUCAUUUAUUUAUGUUUAAUUGAUCCUUUAUUAUAGAUUAUAAGAUUAAGUUACUUUAGGGAUAACAGCGUAAUUUUUUUGGAGAGUUCAUAUCUAUAAAAAAGAUUGCGACCUCGAUGUUGGAUUAAAA
rnacentral:rRNA from 1 species